ensembl:snRNA U6 U6 spliceosomal RNA
GUGUUGUUCACUUAAGCAGCACAUACCCUAAAGUUGGAAUGCUGCCAAGAUUAGCAUGGCCACUAUGCAAGUAUGAUGCAGAAAUUCAUGAAUGUGAGCCACAUUUUU